rnacentral:rRNA from 1 species
GAUUAACGCUGGCGGCGUGCAUAACACAUGCAAGUCGAACGAUGAAGAUUAUUAGACUUCUUCGGAAUGAAAAUAAUUGGAUUAGUGGCGGACGGGUGAGUAACGCGUGAGUAACCUGCCUUACACAAGGGGAUAGCCGUUGGAAACGACGAAUAAUACCCUAUGAAACUAUCACUUCGCAUGAAGCGAUAGUCAAAGUGUUAGCGGUGUAAGAUGGACUUGCGUCUGAUUAGCUAGUUGGUGAGAAAAAAGCCCACCAAGGCAACGAUCAGUAGCCGGCUUGAGAGAGUGUACGGCCACAUUGGGACUGAGACACGGCCCAGACUCCUACGGGAGGCAGCAGUGGGGGAUUUUGCACAAUGGGGGAAACCCUGAUGCAGCGACGCCGCGUGAUUUAGAAGGCCUUCGGGUUGUAAAAAUCUUUUGUAUAGGAAGAAAAUGACAGUACUAUACGAAUAAGGUCCGGCUAAUUACGUG